rnacentral:snRNA from 1 species
AUUACAUUACAUACUCGAGAUAA